AGAUCACACAGCAGAAAAAUGGAAAAACUGGGAUUAGAUCCCAGGUCCUUCUGACUCUCAAGCCUGGGCUGUAGUCACUGGGCUAUGCUGCUACUCAGUGUGGUACUUUCCAAGGCACUCAUUGUGAUUUGUACCCAGAGGAUGCUUGCCAUAAAUGCCAUGGAUUGAUUGACAUCCCCCAAAUUAAGUCAAUACAAGACAUAUGUACAUUUUUUUUUGUUACAGUUCUGUAGAACACAGAGAUAGGAUGAACUGGCAGAAAAUCCAGCUUUGGCCGUCCUGUGUGUAUUGCAGAAGUGUUCGACAAAUGGCCACCUUGAUUUUAAAAUGUAAUUUCCUGGCUCCGGGAGAUGAGGAGAAAGCACCAGAGGAGGAAGGAGGAGACUCGAACAUCUCACCCACCGAUGCACCAACCAAACGGAGAGCCUUAACCAUGGGAGUUGACCUAUCAUCCGGGAGAAAAUAAAAAAAAUAAGUAUCUCCUCAUAUCCUAGCAAAACAAACUUGGAAACACUUACUGCUAGUAUCGACCGAUCUGAACUCUUAAGAAGCCUCUCUCACGUUUUUAUAUUCGAGAUGAAAAAGUAUUUGGCCUUUUUCUCCCAGAAUAUAUCCCCAAUCCAUUUUCAGGGGAAAGAACUCUGCUGGUUAGGAUGUUGCUCUCACUCCUUAAAAUUCAGUCAGGGGAGAGAGAAAGGCGAGACCGGGAGCUUAUACAUAGGAAGAAAUAAAAAGGAAAAUAAAAGAGACAUUAAAUACAUAGUACAGUUAGGCUAUUUAAAAGCCGACGCAGAAACUGAAGCUAACAGUAAGUUUCCAAGGGAAAUUUACUUCACGUCUCCUUAAAAAGAAAGAAUAAAACAUCUUAGGACGAGCCUCCCUGAUUUAGAACGGUUCACUCUCCUGACUAUUGGGAUUGGGUUUAUAUUCCAUAUGAGGUUUGGCUUUGGUUCAAAAAGAGAGACAAGAAAAUGUUUGCACAUCCUUGCGCGGUGUGAUUCUGCAGGAGAUCUGGACAAGAACUGCUGCUGCCCCUUGUGAAAACAGUGGUAGAGUCUGUGGUCGUGGGCUCAACCCCAGGUCGAUAUUUUUCAGAGACUUAACCAGCCUACUUCUGGGAACGCCCCAUCUGGCCAGCAUCCAUCCAGGCUGAGGUGCAGCCUCAGACGUCAGUAGAAGCCGAGCUGAUGGGAGGGUGAGGAGGGCUAGAUGAAAAGAUGCUGGCGGCAGCAAAGAGGAUUGUCGCCUGAAUUCCAAACCUCCAACUGGCUCGGCAUCUACCAGAAUAUCGGAGGACUGAAGCCGGCGGUGCGAGAAGACCCUUGCUCCGGCUCAUGCGGCAAGGGAUGGAUAAAGGCAAAACCCUCUGAGGCCCUGAACCAGUGCCCCGCACUGUAAACUAAGUCUUUGUGGCCAGGAAAGCAGAGGUAAAAAAAAAAUAGUUUCCAUUACGCCAACAAUCUCCUGCUUGGAUUGAUCUACCCAAGGUCUUCAUGGGCUGUAAAGAUUCGAUGGGGUUAAAAAAGCAGGAUUUUGCUCUAUGCAAAACCUCUCCUGCUUAUUUAUCUAGGUAAGGAUUUAAGGGCCUUUAAAGAAAAUAGAUGAGGGAAAGGAGAGAUUUGCUGGAUACUGAGACAUCUCCUGUGCCUGAGUCCCCACUUCAUGUCUCCAAGACCUUGUGUUACAGAACAGAGAGUUGUUGAGGUGCCAGGGGAGAAACAUGCUUCUUGCGAAAAUUCUCCAGAUUUCAUUUCCCUCCCCAAAGUGGUAUUCAAGGCCGUCAAAAAGAUGUUUGAGGGAAAAGGGAGAAAUUUGCUUUCCCUAUCGAAUGUCUUCUUUGCCUUAAGAGAGAACAUUGGCUGUGCCAAAGGAGAAAUUUGCUUCAAGAAAAUAAUCUCCAGUUUUAUUUCUCUAUCUAAGGGGUCUUCAAGGCCAGCAAAGAUUAUUUUGGAGCUGAAAAAGAGGAAAUUUGCUUUACACAACACAUCCCCUGCUUCCUUUCUUCUUCCUUAAGUCUUUGAGGGCUGAAAAGGCAAUAUAUGGGUUGAAAAGAAGGAGUAUCAUGCUUCGUGGAAAACCUCUCCUGCUUAUUUGAGGUCAUCAAAGCUUCAAAAGAGAACAUUUGGGGUCCUAAAGGAAGAAUUGACUUCUUGCAGAUACAGGGUCUUCAUGACUUGCUGUCUCUCUCCCUUGAAGGCCUUCAGGGCCUGCUCCCUCCCUCCCUAGUAGUUCUUCAUGGCCUGCUGUCUCCCUCCCUGGCAGGUGUCCAGGACUUGCUCACUCCCUCCAUUACAUGUGUUCAGGACAUGCUCAAUCCCUUCCUUGAAGACCUUCAAGGCCUGCUCUCUCCCUUCCUAGCAGGUCUUCAGGGCCAGCUCUAAUCCCUCCCUUGCAGGUCUUCAGAGGCAUCUCAUUCUGUCUCCUUGCAGGUCUUCGGGUUCUGCUCAUUCCCGCCCUUGUAGGUCUUCAUGGCCUGCUCCAUCCCUCCCUUGUAGGUCUUCAUGGCCUGUUUCCUCCCUCCCUAGCAGUUUGUCAGGGCUCACACACCCGAUCUCUAGUAGUUCUUCAUGACCUGCUCACUCCCUCCUUAUCAGGUCUUCAGGGCCAGUUAAUUCUCUCCCCGUGCAGGUCUUCAGGGCCUGCUCACUCCCUCCCUUGAAGGUCUUCAUGGCCUGCUCACUCCCUCCUUUGCAGGUCCUCAGGACCUGCUCACUCCCUUACAGAUCUUCAGGGCCUGGUAACUCCCUCCUAUGCAGGUCUUCAGGCUGUUUUUUCUCCCUCCCAUCUCUAGUAGUUCUUUAUGGCCUGCUCACUCCCUCCCUUUCAGGUCUUCAGGACCUGCUC